CUGUUGUUUUAUUUGUUCUUGUAUGACUGAAUACCUACAGCCCUGUUGUUAAAAUUAUUGCAGUUUUACGUUAAAAAAUACCCUAAAGGAUUGAUUGUAAACAUCGCUUGACGUGUUUCUACAAACGGUAAUGGAACUUUUGGCCAUUUCGUCUACGGAUUUGCGUCCACGCCACAUGGCAUUGUAAAGUGUUCUGGAUGGGUCAACAAAACGGAUGUAUUUGGAAAUAAUUUAUGGGCUUUGCAGAACAAAUGAACAUUUCUUGUGGAAGUGGGAGCCCAUCCGAGUGCAUUCUGCCGAAGAUCAGCAAAGAACCAAAAUGGGUACUGAACCGUCAAAUGCCAUGGCGGAGAUCUCUCACCUUUACCUUGUCGCUGACGUAGCCUCGGCCACAGCCACACAACACAGCUAAUCAACCUUACCGUUUACCGGACACCGGCUUCCCAAACCCACUGCAGUCACUCGCUCCACUAAAGUCUCGCUGCAUGGAGAGAACAAAUCAAAAAGGUGAGGCAUGGGCUUCUGGGAGUGUCCGUCCCCAGACAUGCAGCCAGGGUCAAGGGACAUUCUAGUUGUCAUCCCGGAUGUCCUGACAUCACAGCCCUGGAAGAACAAACCACACUACUGCUGGUGAGGGUAAAGACAGGAGGAGACAGGAGGUUAAGAAGACACCCAGACGGAGAGAUACUGUGCUCCUCUUUCUGCACGGUCGCUUCCUGUUCCGCUGUGUUCUACAGAGUUCUACAGUCUCUCUCUUUAUUUCUAUCUUUCUCUCUCUUUAUUUCUAUCUUUCUAUCUUUCUCUCUCUUUAUUUCUAUCUCUCUCUCUGACACA
rnacentral:lncRNA from 1 species